CUAGCUCUUGUAGACCAGGCUGGUCUCGAACUCACAGAGAUCCGCCUGCCUCUGCCUCCCGAGUGCUGGGAUUAAAGGCGUGCGCCACCACCGCCCGGCACUGUUUCCUUUAAAAUCGCGUAUUUAUCUGGUUUGGCGUUGAAUUGUUGAAACCGCUAAGAUUUGCCGGUUUCAGCUCAGCCCGUUCUUGUGUUUGCUCUCCUCCUCCCGUCUCCACUUUCCACCACCGUAGGCAAGACCCUGCCCUGCAGCGUCGCGUGGCAAUUGGCGUUUCCGAGACUCAGUGGCCAGCGGAUCCAAGGAGCUUUCCCCUAGUCCGCUCAUCUUGAACACAGAUCUGCAACUGGCAGCCCAAUCAGCGAGGUUCAGGUGCACCUUGGGCGAAACCUCUUGAGACAUGGCUUUGUGAAGAAAACAUCAGAACCUCCCCGACAGAGCACUCCUUUCCCCAGAAGAGGGCGGUUCUCUGUGAAGGUGAGGCCGCUUAGAGAACCGCUCUCUCCCCUCCAGCGACAAGGAAGGACUUCCUCCACUCACCUGGGAGACAAAGAUCAACAAGACCACACCUAGACCAGGGCUACAACUACUCACCUCCCCGCGCUCUGGCUGUCCUCUGUUUAAACCUGAAGCUCAAGUGGCACCUUAAAGCAAGGUGGCUGGUCCCUUCUCUCUGCCGGCUACCAUUUCUUGUUUCUUUGAUUGGCCUUGGGGGAGGGGAGCGCUGGCCGAGCACAGCUUGGGAGGUGGGGUAGCAGCCCAAGUACUGUUACCCUAAAACUCUGGGAACAGUUUGUUGGGCCCUGGUAUAGGAGCUCAGCCCAUACAGUGACCUCUACUUGCUCAAGGAGGCGGCAGUACCAGAGUUGUUAGGGUCAAAUCCUGGAAGCCUUUAACAAGCAAGGCUCAGCUGCUGUCCCAGUAAGCAAGUAAAGAAACCUAUAGUAGUGAAAGAGACAUUAGGGGAAAAAAACAAAGAGAUAUAGCAAACUCCCCUCCUACCCCAAGCUCAUCUUUAGGACCCUGACAUCAGAUGCAUCAUUAAGAGUCACUAGGUACGUCCUGCCCGUUACUGACAAUCAUUGUCUUAACUUCUGCUUCCUGGUCUAUUAAACAAGUCAGUACUGACUGACAGGUUUUUCCCAUAGAAAAGAUCACCCUGUUGCUAACACUAACUAUCCUAUUUCUUCUUACCCUUUGGAGA